UGUAGGAAGGGGAGGGGCCUAUUUCAGAUUGAAGGUGAGCUGAUUACAGAGCUCCGUCAGAGAAGAGGACCGUUAACAUCGAGGAGAGAGUCCGUCCUCUCUGCUGUCUGACCGGGUACUCUGAGAGAGCUGUGGGUCUGUUUUUGGAAGCACCGUGGUGGAAAGGUGGUCAUGGAGUUCAACAGGAUUGUGGGCAAGAACCUCAAGCAGGAAUUCUAUGAAAGCAUCAAUCGGCACAGACUUCGUCUUAUCGAAAUAUUCAGAUCCAAGAGCGGGAACAUUGGGCAGCAGUUGACACAGCCUUUACAACAGACCAAGACUACAGAGCCAACUGCUGUUCGGACAAUGGUGUCAGAAGGCUUCCCAUUGUCCUUGGUGAAAACCCCACAGACUUCUACAGAGCAGCUUUUGAUGAUGAUGAUGACUCAUUCCGCCACAUCGAGAUUGGAAUCCUCCAGGUUGAGCCUGAAGGUGCUGCGGUUGCAUCUUUCCUGCAUCUCAGUCCAGCCUCUUUGAAGGUCAUCAUUGAGGGAGAAGUUGUGAUGGACAAAAUUAAAGACCUACCUAAAGCGAUGUGCCUUCUGUUUGGACUUUCAUAUGCACUGCAUCUCAACUACCCCAAGUCUAUGAAGUUCACAUUCCAGUUCAUCCAACAGGUACCUCUCACAUUGGGCCAGAGUGAACUAAAACCAAGGUUACAAACCUUGAAGAACCAGCUUGCAAUGUAAAGAAAUGCUAUGUUGAGACUACUGUGACUGUGUGCUGC